rnacentral:lncRNA from 1 species
UCGAAUCGCCGAAGUCCGUCUUACUAAGUUGAAUCAAAAUUCAACAACUUCAUUUCAUGAACUAGGAACUGAUCGAUCAGCAAGCAUAAUCGAGUCGAUAAUAACAUGCGACACCGCAUAUUUCAAUCUUUUCAUACUUAUAAUUACUGUCACUAAUAAAAUACUACAGGUAUUGCAUAUUACAUGCAACAUGCUAAUGUUGUAACUUAAUUACCAAUAUAUUACAUGCAAAAUGGUAGCUCUAAUUUACGUUCUGACGGACUAGAUCUCACAACCGAAAAUAGAAACUGAUAAUGCAUUAAGAUUUAUGGGAUCACUGGCCGGCAAAAGUGCCUUGUACCAACUCCAAGAAGUGAGAUACAUCAUCCUCCGCUACCUGCAGUAGAAGUAAAACAAAAAAAGAGCAUAUACGUUAACAAACUUGUAAAAUUUGAAGUAGAUGGGAAAUAGAGAUGAUCAAUAUUCUUGAACCGAAACUAGUUUCACAAUUACCAUGGCUUGCUCCAGGUGUAGUAGGUACUGGUACGCCUAUUUUCCUUCCUUGAAUAAUCUCCAUAAUCACAUGCUGAUUCCUUUUCUCUUUUGCAGAAGUAACAAAUAGAUACAUAAUAAAAUUCAACAGAUUUAAACAUCUUCUCAACAUAUGGACAGAAAAGGAAGGGGGAGAGAGAGAAGGACUAACUGGUUUUCGGAAUGUAAGAAACUCCGGCAGAAACGCUGUUGGCAGAGAAGAAGAAAAGCAACAGGAUCAAGGGAAUCACCAUGUAAACAGCACAGGCCUUAUGAACCAUUGCUUCUGGUACGUAGGUUUUAGUUUCUCCGUAAUCUCCCUAUCUGCAGCUUAAUUAUUUAUAAUGAUGGGAAGUAAGAACAGAACAUCAAGCUGAGUACUGAACGCCAAAGUCAAGAGAGGAGUUAGUCUUCUGUUGUAUUUUUCAUCGAAAAGAAAUUAAGAUGCCAA